UUAAGCGACUAAGCGUACACGGUGGAUGCCCUGGCAGUCAGAGGCGAUGAAGGACGUGCUAAUCUGCGAUAAGCGUCGGUGAGGUGAUAUGAACCGUUAUAACCGGCGAUUUCCGAAUGGGGAAACCCAGUGUGUUUCGACACACUAUCAUUAACUGAAUCCAUAGGUUAAUGAGGCGAACCGGGGGAACUGAAACAUCUAAGUACCCCGAGGAAAAGAAAUCAACCGAGAUUCCCCCAGUAGCGGCGAGCGAACGGGGAGGAGCCCAGAGCCUGAAUCAGUGUGUGUGUUAGUGGAAGCGUCUGGAAAGGCGCGCGAUACAGGGUGACAGCCCCGUACACAAAAAUGCACAUAUUGUGAGCUCGAUGAGUAGGGCGGGACACGUGGUAUCCUGUCUGAAUAUGGGGGGACCAUCCUCCAAGGCUAAAUACUCCUGACUGACCGAUAGUGAACCAGUACCGUGAGGGAAAGGCGAAAAGAACCCCGGCGAGGGGAGUGAAAAAGAACCUGAAACCGUGUACGUACAAGCAGUGGGAGCCUCUUAAUGGGGUGACUGCGUACCUUUUGUAUAAUGGGUCAGCGACUUAUAUUCUGUAGCAAGGUUAACCGAAUAGGGGAGCCGAAGGGAAACCGAGUCUUAACUGGGCGUUAAGUUGCAGGGUAUAGACCCGAAACCCGGUGAUCUAGCCAUGGGCAGGUUGAAGGUUGGGUAACACUAACUGGAGGACCGAACCGACUAAUGUUGAAAAAUUAGCGGAUGACUUGUGGCUGGGGGUGAAAGGCCAAUCAAACCGGGAGAUAGCUGGUUCUCCCCGAAAGCUAUUUAGGUAGCGCCUCGUGAAUUCAUCUCCGGGGGUAGAGCACUGUUUCGGCAAGGGGGUCAUCCCGACUUACCAACCCGAUGCAAACUGCGAAUACCGGAGAAUGUUAUCACGGGAGACACACGGCGGGUGCUAACGUCCGUCGUGAAGAGGGAAACAACCCAGACCGCCAGCUAAGGUCCCAAAGUCAUGGUUAAGUGGGAAACGAUGUGGGAAGGCCCAGACAGCCAGGAUGUUGGCUUAGAAGCAGCCAUCAUUUAAAGAAAGCGUAAUAGCUCACUGGUCGAGUCGGCCUGCGCGGAAGAUGUAACGGGGCUAAACCAUGCACCGAAGCUGCGGCAGCGACACUAUGUGUUGUUGGGUAGGGGAGCGUUCUGUAAGCCUGUGAAGGUGGCCUGUGAGGGUUGCUGGAGGUAUCAGAAGUGCGAAUGCUGACAUAAGUAACGAUAAAGCGGGUGAAAAGCCCGCUCGCCGGAAGACCAAGGGUUCCUGUCCAACGUUAAUCGGGGCAGGGUGAGUCGACCCCUAAGGCGAGGCCGAAAGGCGUAGUCGAUGGGAAACAGGUUAAUAUUCCUGUACUUGGUGUUACUGCGAAGGGGGGACGGAGAAGGCUAUGUUGGCCGGGCGACGGUUGUCCCGGUUUAAGCGUGUAGGCUGGUUUUCCAGGCAAAUCCGGAAAACCAAGGCUGAGGCGUGAUGACGAAGCACUACGGUGCUGAAGCGACAAAUGCCCUGCUUCCAGGAAAAGCCUCUAAGCAUCAGGUAACAUCAAAUCGUACCCCAAACCGACACAGGUGGUCAGGUAGAGAAUACCAAGGCGCUUGAGAGAACUCGGGUGAAGGAACUAGGCAAAAUGGUGCCGUAACUUCGGGAGAAGGCACGCUGAUAUGUAGGUGAAGCGACUUGCUCGUGGAGCUGAAAUCAGUCGAAGAUACCAGCUGGCUGCAACUGUUUAUUAAAAACACAGCACUGUGCAAACACGAAAGUGGACGUAUACGGUGUGACGCCUGCCCGGUGCCGGAAGGUUAAUUGAUGGGGUUAGCGGUAACGCGAAGCUCUUGAUCGAAGCCCCGGUAAACGGCGGCCGUAACUAUAACGGUCCUAAGGUAGCGAAAUUCCUUGUCGGGUAAGUUCCGACCUGCACGAAUGGCGUAAUGAUGGCCAGGCUGUCUCCACCCGAGACUCAGUGAAAUUGAACUCGCUGUGAAGAUGCAGUGUACCCGCGGCAAGACGGAAAGACCCCGUGAACCUUUACUAUAGCUUGACACUGAACAUUGAGCCUUGAUGUGUAGGAUAGGUGGGAGGCUUUGAAGUGUGGACGCCAGUCUGCAUGGAGCCGACCUUGAAAUACCACCCUUUAAUGUUUGAUGUUCUAACGUUGGCCCGUAAUCCGGGUUGCGGACAGUGUCUGGUGGGUAGUUUGACUGGGGCGGUCUCCUCCUAAAGAGUAACGGAGGAGCACGAAGGUUGGCUAAUCCUGGUCGGACAUCAGGAGGUUAGUGCAAUGGCAUAAGCCAGCUUGACUGCGAGCGUGACGGCGCGAGCAGGUGCGAAAGCAGGUCAUAGUGAUCCGGUGGUUCUGAAUGGAAGGGCCAUCGCUCAACGGAUAAAAGGUACUCCGGGGAUAACAGGCUGAUACCGCCCAAGAGUUCAUAUCGACGGCGGUGUUUGGCACCUCGAUGUCGGCUCAUCACAUCCUGGGGCUGAAGUAGGUCCCAAGGGUAUGGCUGUUCGCCAUUUAAAGUGGUACGCGAGCUGGGUUUAGAACGUCGUGAGACAGUUCGGUCCCUAUCUGCCGUGGGCGCUGGAGAACUGAGGGGGGCUGCUCCUAGUACGAGAGGACCGGAGUGGACGCAUCACUGGUGUUCGGGUUGUCAUGCCAAUGGCACUGCCCGGUAGCUAAAUGCGGAAGAGAUAAGUGCUGAAAGCAUCUAAGCACGAAACUUGCCCCGAGAUGAGUUCUCCCUGAGACUUAGAGUCUCCUGAAGGAACGUUGAAGACGACGACGUUGAUAGGCCGGGUGUGUAAGCGCAGCGAUGCGUUGAGCUAACCGGUACUAAUGAACCGUGAGGCUUAACCU
rnacentral:rRNA from 1 species